UACGUAGGUGGCAAGCGUUGUCCGGAUUUACUGGGCGUAAAGAGCGCGCAGGCGGUCGUUCAAGUCGCGUGUGAAAGCCCCCGGCUCAACUGGGGAGGGUCACGCGAUACUGAUCGACUCGAAGGCAGGAGAGGGAAGUGGAAUUCCCGGUGUAGUGGUGAAAUGCGUAGAUAUCGAGAGGAACACCUGCGGCGAAGGCGGGUUGCUGGGCUGACACUGACGCUGAACUGCGAAAGCUAGGGGAGCGAACGGG
rnacentral:rRNA from 1 species